AGCUCCAAUAGGAUAUAUCAAAGUUGUUGCAGUUGAAAAGCUCGUAGUCGUAUUUCUGGUGGGUCGAUGUCCUCUCCGCUUGGGCGCAAGCCCGAUGGAGGAGGGCCGCCUGCCAUUUUGUGGGCUUCAGUGGCAGGGUUGUGGUUUACUCCACGACCUUGUCGCUCCACUCCGUCACUGAGAGCAAAUUGGAGUGCUCAAAGCAGGCUUUACAGCUUUGAACAUUUUAGCUUGGAAUGACAAAGUAUGACUUUUGGUUCACUUUGUUGGUUAUGAAUUAGAGGUAAUGAUAAAUAGGAACAGUUGCGGGGGUACUCGUAUUGGGAAGUCAGAGGUGAAAUUCUUGGAUUUUUCCACGACGAACGACUGCGAAAGCAUUUACCAAGGAUGUUUUCA
rnacentral:rRNA from 1 species